GAUGAACGCUGGCGGCGUGCUUAACACAUGCAAGUCGAACGGAAAGGCCACAGCUUGCUGUGGUACUCGAGUGGCGAACGGGUGAGUAACACGUGGGUGAUCUGCCCUGUACUUCGGGAUAAGCUUGGGAAACUGGGUCUAAUACCGGAUAGGAAUCACAUGUGGGUGUGUGGUUGGAAAGCUUUUGCGGUAUGGGAUGAGCUCGCGGCCUAUCAGCUUGUUGGUGGGGUAAUGGCCUGCCAAGGCGUCGACGGGUAGCCGGCCUGAGAGGGUGUACGGCCACAUUGGGACUGAGAUACGGCCCAGACUCCUACGGGAGGCAGCAGUGGGGAAUAUUGCACAAUGGGCGCAAGCCUGAUGCAGCGACGCCGCGUGGGGGAUGACGGCCUUCGGGUUGUAAACUCCUUUCGUCAGGGACGAAGCGAAAGUGACGGUACCUGGAUAAGAAGCACCGGCUAACUACGUG
rnacentral:rRNA from 1 species